AGUCGACAAUCUACUGGCAAAUCCUUUUUAAUCCUUGUCAUCUGAAGAGAAAUAAUGAAGAGAAAUUAUAGAUAAAACAUAUCGGUGCUCAUCGGCCAUUGGACAUAAACAAUACACAACAAGUUGGAAAUCGCAAAUUCAACAAUUAAUGGUUUGGAAGGAAUCAGUGGCUGCCUAGUUCCCAAUUGUCUUGAAAGUCCGUGGCUUUGAUGUCAAAGUUUAAUGACAAAAUUUGCCGAUGAAGGACAGCCGCGCUAUCUUCCUGUUCAAGUGAGCACAGCACAACAAGCCGGGAAGAGCUUUUGGAGAUCAGAGUGGCUGUCACAGCUGUUAGAAGGAGUGGACCAAGAUGCAGCGUUUUCGUAGUUCCACAUAUUUAUUUAACCAGUGAAACCGAAUGCAACAAUUAAACACUUCAAAAUAUACAC
rnacentral:lncRNA from 1 species